rnacentral:lncRNA from 1 species
UAACCUCAGUGUCCUGACACUCUACAGAUUGAGUCAACAAAGAAGGAAGAAAUGGGUGUUAAACUGUGUUAACAAUUUGUGGCUGAAAACCAUGCCUGAACUAGAUUUUUUUUUUUUUUUUGGUUCUUUUUUUCGGAGCUGGGGACCGAACCCAGGGCCUUGCGCUUCCUAGGUAAGCGCUCUACCACUGAGCUAAAUCCCCAGCCCCACCUGAACUAGAUUUUUAAUUUCUUGUAUAACUCUCUUAUUAGUUUUGAGAAAUCUUUCUUGGGGCUUCUUAUUUUCGAGUUAGUAACACAUUUUGAUGUCUCUUUUUGUAUGAAAAUUGUACUUUUUUUUUUCAGUUGGGAUUUUUAACAGUUCUAUGUAAAUUGAUCUUUUAGUAAAUUUAUUUUUAAUGCAUGAAUAUUUACAGGACAUAUGCUACUACUUCUAUAUAUUUAAGAACUUUUUAAAGCUAAUAACUACUUUCUAUUUAUGUUUUAAUGUAUCCUUUCUUUUAAUACGUCUAGUUUUGCCCUGUGUGGUGACGCACAGCUAUGAUCCCAGCACUUGAGAGGUAGAGAUGGGAGGGACAAGUGUUCAAAGUUUGAGGACAGCCUGGGCUUCAUGAGUCCCCAUCCCAAAUAAAGAUUCAAAAGUUAAAUACAUAGUCUCUAUUGUACUCGGUAUGUAUGAGAAAUCUGGCAAAAUACAAGGAAAAUCAAACAAAUUCUUACCCAAAUUCCUGAGGUUUUCUCAUGUAUUAUAGAGUUAAUGCUUUAAAUCAAAUUAGAUGCAGUGUUGCAAAGAAAUAUGUAUGACAGCUUAUUUUCCGUCUAGUGAACUUUCUAAAUAAUGCAUGUUUCUGUAAUGGAAAUAAUUUUGGAAUCAAAUGUGUUGAAUUUAGUGUAAAGGACUCUUUUCUCUUGUUCUGUGACCUUGACAUAGGGAACACUCUGUGCAAUCCUACAGCCUUUCCUGAUGACCGUUAUCUAUAUUUUGUGUAACAGUGGCAUAACAAGGUAUCACGUAAAUCUCCUUUUCCUGUUGCAAACCAAUAGCCUUCUGCAGCUACUCAUCAAGACGAGCAGAGCGGCCCUUUGUAGGCUGGCCUCUGAGUCAGACUGUGAUGCUGUGUGUUUAGGUGAAAUGUUACCUCCCGUACAGAGCUUACCCUCUGCAAGUGUAAGUCAUUACUACAGGAACGGAGAAGCCCCUGCUCAUCAGUGUAAACGGUCUGAUUCCAGCUUUUGUAACGUUAGUAUUCUUUAUCAGUAAUGAUGUUCUUUGAUGCUCAUUUACCCCCUUGUUUUGUGUUGGUAAUAAAACUUCUCGGAAUUUGAA